AGCUGUGAGAUUUCCUUAUGAACGGUGGUCGCAAAUUUGAUUCCGUACAAAAAAAAAGCAGCAGCCGAAGAAAGGUUCACGAGGUAAAGGCUUAAAGAAGGUUCAAAGGUUCAUUGUGCAGAUCAUAAGAUCAUUUGGCUGACUCAACAUUGAGAACUGAAACUUCACAUAAGAUCAUUUUUAC